UACAGAGACUGCAAGCGUUGUUCGGAUUCACUGGGCGUAAAGGGCGCGUAGGCGGCCUGGCAAGUCGGGGGUGAAAGCCUGUGGCUCAACCACAGAAUGGCCUUCGAUACUGCCGGGCUAGAGUCCGGAAGAGGAGAGUGGAAUUCCUGGUGUAGCGGUGAAAUGCGCAGAUAUCAGGAAGAACACCCGUGGCUAAGGCGGCUCUCUAGUACGGUACUGACGCUGAGACGCGAAAGCGUGGGGAGCGAACAGG
rnacentral:rRNA from 1 species